GACGAACGCUGGCGGCGUGCUUAACACAUGCAAGUCGAACGGAAAGGCCCUGCUUUUGUGGGGUGCUCGAGUGGCGAACGGGUGAGUAACACGUGAGUAACCUGCCCUUGACUUUGGGAUAACUUCAGGCAACUGGGGCUAAUACCGGAUAGGAGCUCCUGCUGCAUGGUGGGGGUUGGAAAGUUUCGGCGGUUGGGGAUGGACUCGCGGCGUAUCAGCUUGUUGGUGGGGUAGUGGCUUACCAAGGCUUUGACGGGUAGCCGGCCUGAGAGGGUGACCGGCCACAUUGGGACUGAGAUACGGCACAGACUCCUACGGGAGGCAGAAGUGGGGAAUAUUGCACAAUGGGCUGAAGCCUGAUGCAGCAACGCCGCGUGCGGGAUGACGGCCUUCGGGUUGUAUACCGCUUUCGCCUGUGACGAAGCGUGAGUGACGGUAAUGGGUAAAGAAGCACCGGCUAACUACGUG
rnacentral:rRNA from 1 species